AGCCAUGCAUGUGUCAGUAUAAGUAUUAUAUAGCGAAACUGCGAAUGGCUCAUUACAUCAGUCAUAACUUAUUUGAUAUUUGAAAGUUACAUGGAUAACCGUGGCAAUUCUACAGCUAAUACAUGCGUUCAUACCCAACUUUACGGAAGGGUAGUAUUUAUUAGAUAUUAAACCAAUCCUUCGGGUUGUGAUGAUUCAUAAUAACUGAUCGAAGCGAGGAUUUCCUUGCUAAAUCAUUCAGGUCUCUGCCCUAUCAGCUUUAGAUGGUAGUGUAUUGGACUACCAUGGCUAUAACGGGUAACGUAGGAUAAGGGUUCGAUUACGGAGAUGAAGCCUGAGAAAUGGCUUCAACAUCUAAGGAUGGCAGCAGGCGCGAAAAUUGCCCAAUCCCGAUUCGGGGAGGCAGUGACAAGAAAUAACAACUUUGGGCUUUGUCCCAGGGAUUGUAAUGAGAAAAAUCUAAAAAACUUAUCGAGUAUCAACUGGAGGGCAAGCUAUGGUGCCAGCAGCCGCGGUAAUUCCAUCUCCAGUAGCGUAUAUUAAAGUUGCUGCAGUUAAAAAGCUCGUAGUUGAAAUUCUGUUCGGUUGAGCGAUUUCCACAAGGUUAUCGCCUCACCGGGCAUCUGUCUGCAAUCAUUUUCACGGCAUUCACUUGUCGGGAUUGGGAGCAGGCGUUCUACCGUGAGA
rnacentral:rRNA from 1 species